rnacentral:rRNA from 1 species
GUGUCAGCCGCCGCGGUAAUACGUAGGUGGCGAGCGUUGUCCGGAAUUACUGGGCGUAAAGGGCGCGUAGGCGGCCAAAUAAGUCAGAUGUGAAACCCCUAGGCUCAACUUAGGGCUUGCAUUUGAAACUGAUUGGCUUGAGUGUCGGAGAGGGAAGCGGAAUUCCUAGUGUAGCGGUGAAAUGCGUAGAUAUUAGGAGGAACACCAGUGGCGAAGGCGGCUUUCUGGACGAUAACUGACGCUGAGGCGCGAAAGCGUGGGGAGCAAACAGGAUUAGAUACCCUGGUAGUCCACGCUGUAAACGAUGGAUACUAGGUGUGGGAGGUAUCGAACCCUACCGUGCCGCAGUAAACGCAAUAAGUAUCCCGCCUGGGGAGUACGGCCGCAAGGUUGAAACUCAAAUAAAUUGACGG